CGUCAAGUCAUCAUGGCCCUUACGCCUAGGGAUGCAAACGUGCUACAAUGGUACGGACAAAGCGAUGCAAUACCGCGAGGUGGAGCAAAUCGCAAAAACCGUGCCCCAGUUCGGAUAGCAGGCUGCAAUUCGCCUGCUUGAAGCCGGAAUCGCUAGUAAUCGCGUAUCAGCAAUGACGCGGUGAAUACGUUCCCGGGCCUUGUACACACCG
rnacentral:rRNA from 14 species